GGCCAAUCUUCCUCACCAAGAAAAAGAAAAUUCCAGCUCUGAAGAAAGCCAUCUUGAUCCAGGUAUUGCUAAACAAUUUGGGGCUUAUUAUUCUCUUUAGAAGGUUCAUUUAAUCUGAAACUAUACAUCAGAGGCCUCAGACUGACAGCCUGAAUCAGCCCACAAGAAUGUUUUAUUUGGCCUAAACAGCACUCAAACAGAAUCUCACGUCACAAUUUAAAAAUCAGAGAUUUUUUAUGUAGCAACACAGAUUUCCUAAUCUGAAGAACUCACAACACAGCCUUGUUCCCUUGAGGCAACAGUCAGUUGCAGACCCUUCAGAAGGCGCAAGAGCUGUGCUCUCCCAUUUGCUUCAGUCCUGGCGUGGCCCAGCCUGCUUCCCUUUUCUUAUGAUCGCUUCCAUUCCACCCUGACCCUGUAGACAUUUGAUUUCUUGAUUUUUUGGGACUGUGGCCUCAAAAGCCAGACUGCUCCCAGGGGGACUACUGGUCAUCAAGGCAGGAUUGAGCUGCAUGUUAUUUGUCAUAAAAGAACCUGGGUCAGGUGGAACAUGUUUGAGCUCAGAAGAGAGAAGAAUUUGUAGCCAGAGUGUACACCAGUGACAUACAUUAAAAUAGAAUUGAAAUGAUGUAAAUGUCCUUCAUUCGUUCAUUCAUUCCUUAAUCCAUUUGUUCACAGAAUAUUUAUGGACUGACUGGAUCUGGGUCACCAUGGUCUCCCUCCAAGACUUGAUGCAUAAUAAGGAUAACAAAAUAAAUGUUCCACAGAACAAUACAGAUAUUGAGACAAUGGGACAGGCUUGUGGCUUUUAGAGGGGAUGUGCUGCUGGCUCGUGGAGUGCCACCCGAAGGGCUGACAAUUCUGCGAGAGGAAUAAACUCAACUUGGUCGUGAUACAUUAUCCUUUUGAAAGGCAGAUAGACCACAGGCAGAUCAUCUUGAUCCAUUGGACUUGGAUGUUGGACUCAAUGUGAGGGCUGCUUCGAGCCACAUGAGGGAAGUGCCAAGAGAAUCACUUGCAAGGAGAGGAUGUGCCUGUAAGAAGAGGUCCUGUGACGCUGAGAAGCAAAAUGUCCUGUUCAAGCUAACUUGGUAAUCCUUAGAAGCAGCCCCAAGGAAGAAGAUUGCCACACUCUGCUUGAUCUAAUGGGCCACAACAGCUCCCAAAUUGAAGAAAUGAGGAUUGGCAUGUCAAGGAAGAGAGACAGCUGAGAGAGAAGAUGGUGGCCUGUGACUAAGAAAUACUAACCUCUGGAACUAUGUGACUCUCGGAUAUCGAUUCCGUUCUGCUGCAGGCUCCAGGCUCUGGGACCACUUCUGAUCUUAGACUUGGAGGGCUUUAGGGUCUGAUUUUGGGGCUCAGCACUAAGUCAAUCUUGCUACCCAUUCAGCCAUGACGUUGUAGUCCACUCUGCAUAAAGGUGCUUCUCCCUUGUGCAGAAGAUUCAAUCUCCACAUUGUAUCCUAAUCAUGGUAGCUGGGUCCUUGUCUUGCUCCUUGUGUUUCUCAAUCUGUCUUGUCCUUUUUGAACUGAAGUCUUUCAUUGCCUUACCCAAAGUCAAGAGGUUUCUAGCCAAGAGGUUUCUAGCCUUCAUAUAACUUAACUCCUGUUGGACUCGAUAUUGCCUGUUUCUAGAUUCUUCAUGUCAUCCUUUGAAUGGAUGUUGGGACACCCUCUGCUCCUUUGAGUUGUCCCUCGUUUCCCUCCCCCUGCUUCAUACCAACUAAUAGCCUAGAAAAACAGAUGUUUAUUGUUAAGUAUUUUCCAAACUGCGUCUCCAAUAUCUAGUGGAGUGCCUGGACCAUAGUAGGCAUUCAAUAAAUAUAUAGAGAAUGAAUGAAUUCAUUCUACCUGCCAGCCAGGACUCCUUUCCAGUAUUUGCUGGCAAAGUCCAUUUUCCCAGAAACUGCCGGUCUCAGAGGUUUCUAGAUCUCAGCUCACCCCAGUUUGCCCAGGCUGCCUUGCCUUACCUUGAACUGGGACACAACACCAAAAUAUUAUGCAUCUUUGUAUCAUCAGCAAGGUGUGUCUUCAAUGCCUCAUUCUUCUUUGCAGGUUUUUGAAAAUGUUGGCCUGUUCUAGCUUAUUUUCUCUUUCCUUUGCCUCCUGGUUGUCUCUCAGAAACUUUAGGAAAAAUUUUAUUUGAUGAAAUUAAUUCAUACCAAAGUGCCAAUCACUAACAAUUCAGGGAAGUUAGCCAGUAAACUUCAAGGUAUAGCCCUGGGUUGUAGUUAGUGAAGCCAAGAGGAAGUUCCACCUUAGAUAGAGCGGGAAUGUUUCUAGAAACUGGAGAUAUUUAGCUUGGAGAUCAUCUUGGGAAGGUCAUGGCAGCUAUUUCAAAUAUACAUAUAUGUCUGAUGUGUAAAAGUCAGAAUACAUCUAUAUUGUGCAAAUAAGCAUUGGUGAUGAUCUGCCCUAA
rnacentral:lncRNA from 1 species